rnacentral:rRNA from 1 species
GACGAACGCUGGCGGCGUGCUUAACACAUGCAAGUCGAACGGAAAGGCCCUGCUUUUGUGGGGUGCUCGAGUGGCGAACGGGUGAGUAACACGUGAGUAACCUGCCCUUGACUUCGGGAUAACUUCAGGAAACUGGGGCUAAUACCGGAUAGGAGCUCCUGCUGCAUGGUGGGGGUUGGAAAGUUUCGGCGGUUGGGGAUGGACUCGCGGCUUAUCAGCUUGUUGGUGGGGUAGUGGCUUACCGAGGCUUUGACGGGUAGCCGGCCUGAGAGGGUGACCGGCCACAUUGGGACUGAGAUACGGCCCAGACUCCUACGGGAGGCAGCAGUGGGGAAUAUUGCACAAUGGGCGGAAGCCUGAUGCAGCAACGCCGCGUGCGGGAUGACGGCCUUCGGGUUGUAAACCGCUUUCGCCUGUGACGAAGCGUGAGUGACGGUAAUGGGUAAAGAAGCACCGGCUAACUACGUG